UAGGGAAUCUUCCGCAAUGGACGCAAGUCUGACGGAGCAACGCCGCGUGAGUGAAGAAGGAUUUCGGUUCGUAAAACUCUGUUGUUAGAGAAGAACAGCGCAUAGAGUAACUGUUAUGCGUGUGACGGUAUCUAACCAGAAAGCCACGGCUAACUACGUGCCAGCAGCCGCGGUAAUACGUAGGUGGCAAGCGUUGUCCGGAUUUAUUGGGCGUAAAGCGAGCGCAGGCGGUCAAUUAAGUCUGAUGUGAAAGCCCCCGGCUCAACCGGGGAGGGUCAUUGGAAACUGGUUGACUUGAGUGCAGAAGAGGAGAGUGGAAUUCCAGGUGUAGCGGUGAAAUGCGUAGAUAUAUGGAGGAACACCAGUGGCGAAAGCGGCUCUCUGGUCUGUAACUGACGCUGAGGCUCGAAAGCGUGGGGAGCGAACAGG
rnacentral:rRNA from 1 species